GAAGGAGUGUGUCUUUUCUAUCAUGUCCCUUGAUAGUCUGUCUCUUCCUCUGCCUCCGUGGUCCCUGCACAUUUUGGAGCAGUCAGAUGCACUGAGGCAGCUUUAUCUGAUCUCGGAAUAAGCCAGGAGGAGAUGACACAAUGGAGCAUAUUACAUGACAUCUUUUCUGGGACUUGUUACAACUCUUCAUUCUCUGCAGGAAUCAUUGGUGCACAUCCAGGGUCUGCUGAAUGUCUGGGAAUCACCAAAAGCUCCAGGAAGAGUGACCUCCAGAAAAAAGGUGAUGUGGAUCCCUAUCUUGACUUUGACGUUGAAAGGAAAUAACCCAU